GCGAAGACACGAAUGAGGAAGAAUGAGGAAUCAGGAAACUGAUAGGGGCGGUGAAGAGGGGAGUUCAUUCAUCCAACACUUUUUUUAGCAACAGUCCCUAAAAUGCCACGUUAAGUGCCCCCGAUAAUUCCACUGAGAUUCACUGAAUCUGAGAUCGCUUGGUGCAAACUUAGCAAAAGUUUAGUACAGAGUACAUGAUUUAAUCACAAGACCCUCCCGGCGUGUCAAACAGCAAGCUCAUCCUUAUUUGUAUCUGAAAAUUGUUCCUUUGCCUGAAUUCGAAGCGACUGGACUUCACGCUUCACGAACGAGGAUCACGCCUGUUCCCUGCUGCAGGCUACACCCCAGAAGCAUUUCCCUCUGCCUCGUUUACGCCAAUCUACAACUCCGAGUCAGGGCGAGGGGUGCUGAAGAAAUGAUUGUGUGACAAUCCUCCAAUCUGAAAACAUGGACUGACAUUUUCUAGGCACUGAAUGACGUAGACACUGGCAAGUUAGUUGAAAAAAAAAGAUGUAAUGAACAAAAGUGGAUUAAGAAGAACCAGUGGAUAUCAGAUGUUUGGACUUUUAGUAUGGUGCCAUGCAAAAGGUUCAACUGAACAAGCCUGGUGGCAAAAGGGACUGAACUUACAGGAUGCACAAGGUCAAAUUUUGCUUCUGUGGAUAAGUCUGCAGAUCCAGCAGGCCUGUCUCUGGCUGUUGUAUGUGUUGUCAAACCAAGUCUGCACCUCAUCAUGGAUAUACUUGCUGCCACCAUCUUUGUUACAUAUCAGGAUCUGCAAGGCCCUCUUAGAGUUCGCUGACUGGAAACGUGAGAUGCUGAGAGUUUUGCAUUACCUCGAACCUCUUCGGUCUUCAUUCAGUAGUGAUGUCCUUCAUUUUUCUUGGGAGAAACGUACAUAUUCAACAUCAACUGUCAUAACAAAUGCUGCAAAUCUCCUGUUAUAGUUGACAACUGCUCUUCAUCAAAGCUUUAUGCAGGGACGAUGUCGACAGGAGGAUAUGGAGAAUCACAUGACCC